rnacentral:rRNA from 1 species
GACGGGGGGGGCUAGUGUUAUUCGGAAUGACUAGGCGUAAAGGGCACGUAGGCGGUGAAUCCGGUUGAAAGUGAAAAGUCGCCAGCUCAACUGGCGGAAUGCUUUCAAAAACCAAUUCACUUGAGUAAGAUAGAGGAUAGUGGAAUUUCGUGUGUAGAGAUAAAAUUCACAGAUAUACGAAGGAACACCAAAAGCGAAGGCAGCUUUCUGGGUCUCUACUGACGCUGAGGUGCGAAAGCAUAGGGAGCAAACAGG